rnacentral:lncRNA from 1 species
GUUGGGCUCCUGGGCCAAUGGGGGACCCCGGGAGGACUCCGCACCCACCUCUCCCCAGCACCAGGCUCGCCUCUUUAGCUCUUAUAAGGUAAAAGGCAGAGAACCCUCUGUGGCCAGGGAGCCGCGGGCAAGGGGCUAAGGGGAGGGGGUCCAGUGCCAGUCGCUUAAAAAUGCCCCUGUGGCAGUGAGGGGUGCCAGAGGCUGGGUCAAGUUAGUCGUGAAGCAGUGAUACCCCCAACCAUUCCCCACACAGGCUGGCCCCCCAUCGCCAGGCGCAAGAAGCCACACCUGGACCAGACUCCAGGCGAGGCUGAGCAAUGAAACCAAAGAAAGGAGAACUGAUCAGGAGCUGAGAGUCUCUGCCUCCCCACAUUCCUGAUGAAAGACCCAUGCAAGCCUGUGUGAUGUGAUGAGUGAGCAGCUUGCAGAAGAUGGAGGGAACGGUAGCAAUCUUCCCUAGAAAGAGUGAAGAGAGCCAGACCCGGAGACAGGAGGCCCUGGGACAAAUCACAGCCUCUCUGAGCCUGCUGGUAACCAAUGGGCUCCUGGGGCUUUGGAGGGGCUCCCAAAGUUGGGCUGUGUCCUAGGUGUGCUGCAAAGCUCAAGAAAGAGCAGCAGUUGUUUUUGCCGCCCAUGCUUCUCACGCUUGCCAAUUAUUAGAGGCGCCUUCACGCUCCUGGUAGAGGGCAGGAUGAGGUGUCAGCCCCAUUAAGAGAGCUGGGGAAACUGAGGCCUGGGAAGUGAAGGAACUCACUCAGUCACUGGGACAGGCAGCAGCAGAGGGGCAUUCUGGCACCAGGUCUCACAUGGCUGGAAAAAAGGAAGAAAGGUUUGGAGGUGAGUGGAGGGUGGGUGGAGGAGCAGACUCCAGCAAGGAGGAUGCUCCGAGGAGGUGGGACAAGCCCCAGGCCUGCUUUACAUAACACGGCCCACCUGUUCACCCCUGCACACCCCACACAUGUGUGCAAACGUGCACAGACCUGGUCCUUACUCACCAGCUAAUGAGCCACAGAGACUGGAUCUAAACAAAUUGGAUUAGAAGGGCUGCAGGCGCCUCCUCCCUCGCCUGUCCGGCUCCGACACUGAGCAGGCCUGCAGAGCCGCCAGCUGCAGAAUCUCGGCCACACUGACAAUCUUCCUGGGCCCCAGGCCCCAGCCCUGAGCCCCAGGAAGGAGACUGGGGCCUGAGAGGAUGCCACAGUGAUGGAUGGAGUGAGGGAGGCUCCGGGCCUCCUCCAGGGCACACAGGAUGUUAGUGCUUGUGUGAGGCCACUACCGAGUGUUCCCAGCCCACCCCACUGCCCCACUCCUCCCCCUUCCUCCAGCCUCUCCUGCAGUCACCACUGCCUGUCUGGGACUUGGGCCCAGACUGGUAUACCCAUCCCUGGCUCCACAGUCUCACGGCUGGGCUGAGCCGGAAGUGGGCAGAUCAGGAGACAUCAGCCUAGGGACAGCACCAAUUGGCACUUCAGAGGAAAGAAACUGGGCAAAAAGGUGAGGCCACCUGGGGGCAGCAUCUCAGUGCUUUCACAUGCAUCUUUGGGCUUAACCCUCAGAAGGUGCCUGGGAGGAGGAGACCGUGCCCAUGGAACCAACGUGACCUCUGGGGUUUCUUCAUCACAACACCCUUUCCUGAGCCCUGAGCCUGUGCCAGGCCAGUUGAUGAGCUGAGGACAGCGAUGAAAGACCCAUUGCCCUUGCUCCUGUGGUUCAUAGGGGUCAGUCUCUGGGGACUGGGGCUUGGGCCCUGGGGCUUCCCUGGCUUUUGCAGGAGUGGCCCCAGCAAAAUCUCUUCUCCACAGGGAUUGGAUAUUUCCAUCCAGAGGAGCUGUAGCAAGAACCCAACCCGACCCUGACGUCAGACAGCCCCCAGUACCCAUCCUGCCCCACUCCCUUUCCAGCUGGAUCACUGUGGUCAAAUGACAGCAUCUUCACGCCUAUUUCCCCUUCUCCCAAACAGGGCUGCGAAAGCUCCCGCUUCAUAGGGCCAACAGGAUUGAUCAUCAUUGUCCAUACUCUCAUCGGACAGAGGGAAAAAUGAAAGCCCAGAGAAGAAAGGGGCUCAGACAGGGUCACAGCAGGAGUUGGGAGUUAAGUCAGAAGCAGAGCUUCCAGACAGAAGACAGAGGAUCCUGGGCUGGCUGGCGACAUUUCCUGAAGACUUGGGGCAAGGGAGGGGGAAAUGGCAGUCCCCUGGGGUCAGCCUUCCAGGCUGCCAGAAAGCCCUCCCUGAACCUCCAGGUAAAAGGUCCACCCGGCUCAGCCUCAUCCUUUCAUAGAAGGGGAAACAGAGAAAAGUGAAGAAAUAGUGGUGCCAACUGGCAACAGAACCUGGGACUCCAACCGACCACCUGUCUCAUCUUCUGACUGGGGACCCAGAGCACGAAAGAGCCUCCGUGGGGUAAGUGAGACAGGAGCUCUGUGGACCCCCUGCUCAGGGAGGCCCUCACUGGAAGGAGGCAGGGGUUGGGACAAGUGCCAUCGGCCAUCCAAGCAAGUAUGCAUGACCCAAAGGAAGCGUUCCAGGGGCUGAAGAGCCAGGAACAGUCCGCCCUCCACAUCUCUCCUUCCACCCCACCAACUGUGCACUUCCUCCUCCAAGGAGCCUUCCCAGCUCCCCCAGGGACAGGACCUCUUUGUCUUCCAAGCCUUUGUCAGUCCUUUCAUGAGCUCUCCUUGUCCUACUUGGCUCUGUGUCUAUCCCCAUUCCCUGCUCAGAGCAGUUUCUGGUUUUGGUUUGGUUUGGUUUGGUUGGUUGGCUUGUUGGUUGGUUGGUAUUAUGGAUCAAACCCAGGGCUUCCACACUGAGCUAUAUCUGCAGCUCUUUUUUAUUUUUAUUCUGAGACAGGGUCUUGCUAAUUUGCUAAGUUGCCCAGGCUGGGUUCAAACUUUCUAUCCUCCUCCCCCAAUCUCCCAGAGUGCGAGGAUUACAGGUGUGGGACAGGGCAUUUUGCUUCUACCUCAGCCUGACUACCAGGCUCAGCCCCAUCUCCCUGGGCACAGAAGAGGCACUUGGUUUGCUCAAUGACCAGGUGUAAUGAUAAGACCCUGUCCUAAACCCAAAGGACUGGGGAACUGGUCCGGGAGGAGAGACCCAGUGUGGAGGUUGAUGGAGGGGGUGUGGAAUUGUUUACUCUGAGCUAAGAAACCCAGCACAGCUCCUUGCUCUGUGGCCUCAGAAAACACCCCUGCAGUGGAGCCUUAAGGACGCACAGGGAUUGACACAAGAAACCAUUCGAGAAGUGGCCAUUUUGGUUCUAGUCAUCACCUGUGUGAUUGCUCUGGUACUGAGGAGCAGAACUAGGCAGCUCAGACCGCAGCCAUAGAGGAAUUACAGCUUCUGUCCAGUGUCACUUUCUCCUGGAGAAGCAUGGCCACCUCUGCUGCCCUGUUCCCACGGCAGAGUCAGCUGUCUGCUGUCUGUGCGCCCUUCACCCUCGAGGUGAGGUAGAAACGUCCUGAGCUCGCCUUGGAGGUGAUCACUGUCCUGCCUCACCUGCUAUUGGAUUCAGAUGCGAUGGGAUGGGGCAUUGUUUCCCAAACCCACCCCUUCAGACGCCUCCUUUUUUAUUUGUGCACACAAUCAUAGUAUUUAAAAAUAUAAGAUGAGUCCUCCAAGUACUUAAAUAGAAACAGUUAUGAUAAAAUGAAAACUAUAGCACAGUCCAAAGGUAGAAAUAAAUACAGUGAAAAUGAAACAACGUGGUUAGGCUUUAACCUAACAUGUGGCUUGCAGGAUCCUGAGCAGUAAGAGGGGUCAGGAAGGUGUCAGCCCACGCAGCAUGGAAAGCGAAGUGACACAGAACACCAGAGCCACUCUGUCCUCAAGUGACUCAGUGCUGAGACCACCGGCUCCCACACCUCAGGGGUCAAGCCGAGCACCUCCUCUCCCGGGUGCUGGAGCCAGGGGAGCGGCAUGCACAGGUCGUCCACCUGGCCAAUCGAGUCCAGGGUUAGAACUGCUGCCAAGCCAGGGCCAGUUUGAAAGGUUUCUUUUUCUCUCCUCCCCUCCCUCCCCCUCCCCCUUCUUCUCCUCUUCUUCCUCCUCUUUCUUCUUUUUCUUUUCUUUUUUUUUUUGAAUGGUCCUGGGCAUUGAACCCAGGAUCUUCACACUAAGCUGCACCCUGGCCCUUUUUAAUUGAUUAAUUUUUUUUUUUGGUACCAGGGAAUCGAACUCAGGACCUUGUGCUUGGAAGGCAGGCGGUGGCACCACUGAGCUAAAUCCCCGGCCUGGCCCUUUUUUAUUUUGAGACAGUAUCUUGCCAAGUUGCCCAGGCUAGGCUCCAGUUUGCAGUCCUUUUGCCUCAGCCUCCCAGAGUGCUGAGAUAACAAGUGUGCAAGAGUUUUUGCAAGAGGAAGGGAGUUCUUUGGCUGAGAAUACCUCUGGCAGGCUGUCCCCUCAGCUGCCGGCAGACCUGCCCCAAGCAACAGACUAGAGGUAGACGUCCCACUCCUCCCGGAGACUGCAUUGAGCCUUAGGUCAGAUUCCUGAUGCAGGUAGGCAUGGGAGACAUUUUGUUUUUUUAAUGGAGGUGUUUUCUUUCUUCUUUCCCAGACCUGAGGAAAGGCUGCCCAUGCCCUUCAGACAUCCUUGAAAGUGUAGGUCACUGGCAUUGAGGCCACCACGGUCGCCAUCAGACAGAGCAGGAGGCUCCUCGGGCACCCUGAGAGCCUGGUGGGGCAGGAGUGGGGGAGGGGACGUUCCCACCCAAGCCAGGCCCAGAGAAGGAAGUGACUUGUCUACAUGGUCAUUCAACCUGCCAUACAUGGCGCCCCUGCAGUUACUCACCAUGGACAAAGCCAUCAGCCAGGUCUAGGGACCACAAGAUAUGGAGCUCUGUCCUCAGGGAACCGGAGAUCUCACCAGGUCCAAUCUAGGCCCAUGACUCUCAUUCUAGAGAGCCUGAGGCUGAGGGGUGAUCCACGCUGCCUGCUGUGAUUUAGGAGGUGAGGCCGGUUCACCACGUUCUUUCCCUCACGGUUGGGCCACCAGUCCACGACAAGUGAAGUUGCCUUUCAAGAGUGGUAAAGGGCCAGGGGCCAGGGAUUUAGCUCAGUGGUCCCGCCGCCUGCCUCGCAAGCUCAAGGUCCCAAGUUUGAUCCCUGGUACCAAAAAAAUAAAACCAAAAAGAGUGGUAAAGGGCCAGGUGCAGUGCCACACACCUGUAAUCCCAGCACUCUGGGAGGCUGAGGCAGAUGGCUUACAAGUUCGAGCCCAGCCUAGACAACUAGAGAUUUAGGAAGACUCUGUCUGAAAAGAAAAGAAAAGAAAAGAAAAGAAACAGAGAUGUGGGGGACCUGGGGAUGUAACUUUAAAAAGUACAGGAAUGGAGCAGUCACAGUAUGGGCAAGAUCACGGGAGCAGGGGGACGCGAGGUGGAAAGAAGCCAAAGGCUGUCCUCUCAACUGACACUGCACACAGGAAGAGGAGAGGCCGGGGAGCCAGGGGACUGUGUGAGCCUGGAGCAGCAAAUGGGGCAGCAGUGGCCUAAAAGAGAAGCCUGGGGGCAGAUGGGACAGAUGGGACAGAUGCAGAGGCCCUCCGAGCUGAGGGAGGGUUCAGAGUCAGCCUGGGGCAGAGGGAGCCCUUUGGGGUUAUAAAUCCAAAAAAGGGCCACGUUUGCAUUUGAGGUCUCUUGUUUCCAUUCCUCCCAGUGCGUCUGGAAGGGUGGGUGGGAAGAAGGGAGGAGUGGAGGAAGGGAGACAAGGUAGGGCAAGUGCUCCCUGGACACAAUGUCAAGUCCCAUGGUGCCAUUUGGCUGCUCCAAGCAGAAGGAUGGGGCCAUGGGGUCCACAAGCUAGGUCAGAACAGACAGAUCUCUAGAGACAGAAACUGGUCCACCUCAGGUUGGAGUUAGCUGAGGAGGGAGCGGUUAUGGGUGGGGUGAAGUAUUCUAAAAUUGUGGCAACAGCCGGGAAUUUAGCUCAGUGGUUCUGGUGCCCUGCCUUAAAAGCCCAAGGUCCCAAGUUCAAUCCCCGGUUCCAAAAAUAAAUAAAUAAAUAAAAUUGUGGCAACAGUUGCACAACUUUGUGAAUAUUAAAAACCAAUGAAGGAGCAGGGAGUGUAGCUUGGUGGUUAGAGAACAUGCUUAGUGUGCACUUGUGUGAGGGUCUGGGUUCAAACUCCAACACUGCAAAAAAACAGCAAACCAAAUUAUUUAAUUGUGCACUUUCCAUGGGUAGACUCCAUGGCAAUGAAAGAGAAAAGGCCAGCAGGGCUGGAGGUGCAGCUCAGUGGUUGAGCACUAGCUUAGCAUCACCAGCACUGCGAGGAGGGAGAAAGGAAGAUGGGGUUUGGUUCAGUGGGCUCCAGUGGCCUCCAAGGACAGGAAGCACAGCUGGGGCAGCAACAGAAGCCUCCAGGCAGGGCUGGGAGAGGCAGCCAGGAGGAGUCGCCUCGGCCCAGCCACCUCGCCAGCAGCGCGGCCCUGUCCCCCAGCCUGAGGUGCAGUGCUGCAUCUCUGGUCAGUUGGGAGUCUGAGAUGAAGCACUGUAGCUCGGGAAGGGAGAAGUUGUUCUGCAGCCUUGGCCUGGACAAGGUAAGUGGUGACAGUGGCGGGGGGGGGGGGGGGGGGAAGGAUGGAUGUCCCCAGACUCUGUGCCAUCAGCAGAGUCCUGGAUUCCAGACCCACCAGAGCCGCCCGAUGCCUCUGUGCCCGGGGUCCAUCCGUGACAUGAGGGGCUGCACAGUUCCGUGGUGGCCGUUAGGCCCUGCAUCCUGGACAGCUGCUGUUAAUGACCCAGAGCUGAGUGAAUUGCCCGUGGGCAGAUCGGACGACUCCUAAAGACUCUUAAGCAUGGGCUGGGGAUUUAGCUCAGUGGUUUCAGCGCCUGCCUCGCAAGCGCAAGGUCCCAAGUUCGAUCCCCAGUACCAAAAAAAAAAAAAGACUCUUAAGCUUGGGAGACAAAAGCCCUGGUUCUGAGUCAGGGCCUUCACUCUCUGAGCUCCUCAGCUUGGCUCUUUCAGUUGAGCAAUGGGCAGCGUGAGAGAACCACUGGGCCGAGCACAGUGCUGUUUAACCUCCCAGCACACAGUGAGGGAGGGGGCGGGGGGGCAGUGUGCUGCUGGCCCACUUUAUAGAGGAGAAAACCAAGGCUCAGUUAAGCAGCUCAACCAAGGUCACGUCUCGAUUGUGCUCAGCUGGUUGUACCCUAAUCUGUCUGCCUUCAGGCUACUGCUCUACCCACUGCUGGGAUCAUGGAAUCGGGGAUGGGGAACAGGAGAACAUAAGGAAUCCCACUCUGGUCUUUACACCUAGAGUUACUGUUCACAAAAGCAGACCCAGACACCUCCAUUAAUGGUAUGGGCUCACCCCACAUCCUAUCCUAUCAACUCAGCUGUUCCAUAGGACCUGUACCGUCUGUCCCAUUUACAGGCCAUGGUUCAGGGCUUGUGACUUGCUGGAGGUCAUCAGAGAAAGUUGCCAACUUGGGUGUGAUGGUACACGCCUGUAAUGCCAGCCCUCUACAAGGCAGAGGCAAGAGGAUUAAGAGUUCUAGCCCAGCCUGGGCCACUUAAUGAUUUAGCAAGACCAGGUAUCAAAAUAAAAAAUAAAAACAGGACUAAGACUGUAGCUCACUAUGAAGGCCUUGGGUUCAAUCCUUAGUACAAAAAAAAAAAAAAGAAAAGAAAAAUGUAGAUGUGCCCUAUUCACCCUCUGGCUAGCGACUGGGGUACACUUGAGCCAGGGUAGCUAAGGGGAUUGGGGGUGCAGCUGGGGACUGAGGUCCCAGAUGGUUUCUGAUCAACAAGCUCACCAGGCCGCCUUGGUGAUGGGAAGGUACUUUCCAGGGCACUCAAAUUCCAGUCACUGCUCUUCCCAGAGCAGGAAGCCGCAUCCUGUGAGUGGCGCCCCCGCCGGCCGCUCCCCUGGCUCACAGGGACAGGGCAGGCCUUGGUGCUGAAGGCCACUCUCCCACCUUGUCCUCACGGUCCAGUUUUCCCAGGAAUCCCUUGGAUGCUAAGAUGGGGAUUCCUGGAAAUACUGUUCUUGAGGUCACGGUUUAACAGCUGGACUCAUCUCUCGCCCACCCCAACUCUGCCCCUGAGGGAAGAGGGUCAAGUAGAAGGCCAAGCGCUGGAGGUAAGAGGGCCUGUGAACCAUGUUCUUGACCUUGAAGUUGUUUUUCUUCCCACUGUGUCCAUUUCGUAACAUCCCUGUGAGGCUGGAUGUGGGGAAUGCAGCACUGUCCAUGCUUGGGAAACUUGUCCCAAGCCAGCAGUGGCUGAAGCAGAAUAGAAUCCCCUCUCAGCUCCCCCUACACCACCACCCUCCCUGGAGGCUUUGUUAUAACGGGGCAUGGUAUCAUAUCCACAUGACUGAGAAACUGAUAUAUGCACAUGAAUUUAUUUUACAUGUUUAUUAAAUCAUUAAGCCAGGCAUGGUGGUGUAUGCCUGCAGUCCCAGGUACUCAACCCUGAGGCAGAAAGACCACAAGUUCAAGACCAGUCUGGAUUACAUAGCAAGGCCCUGUCUCAAAAAAAACAGGCAAAAAAAAGUUUAUUACAUCAGCUAGGUAAACUACAAACCAUAAAUCUUUGUUCAAUUUGGAAUAUAGCCACAGAAAAAUGGAAAAUUUGUCAUCAAGGUAGAGUAAACAAGACUCAGGACGCCCCCUUGUGGUACUUGUACCCACUGCAGGAACUGUGGCUGCUCCAUGUACACUCUAAAGUAGCUACAAGACUCAGGACUAAGAUUUACCCUGAGAUCCCUUUGCCUCAGUGGCCUGAGGAUGUCAUUAACAGCAACACCUUCUCUGUUGCUUACCCUCUUUUCCUUCCAAAACCUGGUGUCCUCCUCAAACCCAGCUAAUGUCAAUAGGGUUAAUGAGGUUCAGAGAAGUAAAGUGACCAACCAAGGUCACUCGGACAGCAAAAGGCAGAACUAGGACUGGUUUCAAGUUCAAUGGCCUUUGCCAAUCUCUUAGCCAAAAGAAAAACCUACGAAAAUCAAGAAUAAAGGCUGCCUAUGGGUAAUGCUAACUGACUGAAUGUCGGAGCCCUGAAGUGGUCCAGGUACAUAACUAGAACUUCCCCCAAAUUCUUCCUGGUGCUUUUUAUGGAGUUAGUGGAGGUGGUGACUGCCGUGGCCCCAGGGGCCUCAUUUGGGCUGUGAUCCCCCACAUUCCCAUGGACCAGGUGGCUUCCCAGGCUGUGUUCCUAACUGGCCACACUGAAGACAUUCAUGAGCUGAGACCCCAUGGCCUCUCUGUGCUCUGUGACUAAUAAAGUGCUGGACCUUUGCCUGGUGUCCUGUCUCUUCCUGGGAACGUGCGACAGGGGAGGUAGCGAGCGCAGAGACAGAAUCUCAUGAUGGCCCCAGCUGGGGUAACUCCCAAGUGCCUCCACAUGACGAGAUGCUUCCAGAAGCAGCAUAGACAGCGAUCAGGAGCCACAUCUGGGCAGAUGAAGGUCUCAGGAAGCUGCUGUGCCGCAUCUAGGAAGGCUUCCCCAAGGUGAGUUAGAGGGGUGAGGUAGCAGCUGAACAAGGAGCCCUCAGGGCCUCUCCACGCAGCUCCCUUCUCCUUCAGUCCCAGGUCAAAUAGGAAGCAGGGGUCUGAAGUGUUAGGUGAGUUCACACCUCACACAAGUGCCCGACUCCUGGUGGCCCCUGGAUAUCGGCCGUAACCACAUAACCACGGGGGAAGGGGCUGACACAAGGGUGCUUGGGACCCAGUCACCCCACUUCGGUAUGAGCCUCCAAACUGCCACAUAUUGAGAGCAAAAUCCUCUUCUGUGGUGACUCCCAGCUGCCUAGGGCCUCCCUACAGCUGUCCUUUGUGCCCAGAACGAGCUGUGGGUGGGAGCUGGGCACUGUGCUCAUCGCUGGGAAGCCCUCCAUGCCAGGCUGAGUGCCCCUCCUGCCACCACUGCACUGGCCCAGGCAGGCUGUUCCUCUUGGCCUUGAAACAGGACCCAGACAAACCCCAGGGCUUCUUGGUUCCCAGGCUUUAUCCAUGGGGCAGUUCCUUCUAGAACUCCUACUCCAUGUGGAACUUAGCCACCUGAGAUGACAUUUCCUGGCCUCUGUGGACCACUUACACACUGAGGUUUGAGAUUUGGGGGGGGGCCCUGCCAUAGAGGGGUGCACAGGAAUGACAGCAAAUAUCCUAAAGCAGCCACCUCCUUACUGACUUCAGUGUAAUGCAGCAAGCAUCGUCUGGUGCACACGCACGCCUCGUGUGGAUACAGCAGUGCACACGACCCCAGAGGAGCCUGCUGUGAAGACAGCUCUAGUGCACUGCACUGUACUUGGGGACCCAUGCUGACCAGGGCUGAACACAGCUCUAAGUAGGAAAGAUUUCAAUCUCAUGUCUCAAUGCCAUGCCCAGGCCUCCAUGCUGUGGAGGGAAGGAAUGAAAGCAGAUCCCCAGGCCCAGGCUCUGCCCGAUGGAGGAUCCACACGGCCGUUGACUCAGAAGGAGGCCUAGACCAGUCCCUUGGUGAGGAGUGGGUGAGGGACCAGGAUGCAGGCAGAAGGAAGAGGGUGCCCUCUUGUGGCCCACUGAGAAAUGACAGGCUUCUUUGGUUACAAAGACUUUUCAUUAUAUUUAUGUCAUCAGUGACCAUUACCUAAGACAUUUGCGUAGGAUUUUGCUUUUCAAAGCGUAUUUCCCCGGGCGGGGAUUUAGUUCAGUGGUUCCGCCGCCUGCCUCGCAAACGCAAGGUCCCUAGUUUGAUCCCCGGCACAAAAAAACAAAAUGUACUUCCCAUCCUGUGAUCUCACUUGAACCUUGGUUUGAGAAGCAUAUUUCAGAGUUUAAACAGUACUUGUUAUAAAAAUAAUCAUGACAGGGCCGGGGAUUUAGCUCAGUGGUUCUCCCACCUGCCUUGCAAGCACGAGGUCCUGAGUUUGAUCCCCAGUACCACAUAAAAUAAAAUUAAAUAAAAUUAAAAAAUAGUCAUGACAGCAAUAUCUCAAAUUUGUGGAGCCCUGACCUUGUAUCCAACAUUAUGACUUGGGGUGGGGGGUACUGGGGAUUGUACUCAGGGCCUUGCACCUGCUAGGCAAGUACUGUGCCAGUGAAUGACAUUCCUAGCCCCAGCACUGUGACUUGACUACCCAUAUGCUGUCAUUGUGAGGUGUAUGCUGCAGUCUAAUAGUUCAGAUGCAGAAUAAGUUGAAAGCAUUAGAAAUGUGCUCAGUCCCCUGACAGAUGAGCAGCUGCAUCCAGAAGCCCAGGGUGGCCCAGCUGCAGUGCUGCACCAAAACCACCAUUCUCACAGCAGCUCACUCCUCCAGCUCCUGGGAGGGCUGGUAGACUCCUCACCACCAGCACUGAUGCCAGAAGCCCAGCAGUCUGAAGAUGUCCUCGGAGCCACAGCCUGCUGGAGGCACCAUCUUCUGGUCCUCGGUGCCCAGAGGGGACCCUAGAGGGUUGGUUUUCUGCCUCAGGGACAAAGUCCUCCAGGCUCCCAAGAGCUGCCUCUCAGGAAGGACAGCAGGAAGUCACCCUGGAUUGCUGGGGGAGGGGGGCCCACAGGGCCAGACAAGGGAGCUGAAAUGGGACUCCGGUCCUGAAAGGAGGGCUUGAGGCAAACCCUGGGGAGCCAGGAGAAUGCAAGAGAACAGCCACAAGAAGGGACCCAGGCCUGUGCCUGCAUUUCAGGCCCAGACAACCUCUCUCCAUGGGAGGAAGACAAACUGCACUGCAGAAGCCAUCCCUGCAGGGAGGAGGUCAUCCUGACUUACCCUUUUCAUGGAAAUUGUGGUGACAGUGCUCUAAGUGGACUCACCCUGGGGACAAACAGAGG